rnacentral:rRNA from 1 species
AAAACUUUCAACAACGGAUCUCUUGGUUCUGGCAUCGAUGAAGAACGCAGCGAAAUGCGAUAAGUAAUGUGAAUCGCAGAAUUCAGUGAAUCAUCGAAUCUUUGAACGCACAUUGCACCCUCUGGCACGCAGGGGGUAUGCCUGUCCGAGCGUCGUC